rnacentral:rRNA from 1 species
AGAGUUUGAUCAUGGCUCAGAACGAACGCUGGCGGCAGGCUUAACACAUGCAAGUCGAACGCACCUUUCGGGGUGAGUGGCAGACGGGUGAGUAACGCGUGGGAACGUGCCCUUCAGUUCGGAAUAACCCAGGGAAACUUGGGCUAAUACCGGAUACGUGCGAGAGCAGAAAGAUUUAUCGCUGAAGGAUCGGCCCGCGUCUGAUUAGCUAGUUGGUGAGGUAAUGGCUCACCAAGGCGACGAUCAGUAGCUGGUCUGAGAGGAUGAUCAGCCACAUUGGGACUGAGACACGGCCCAGACUCCUACGGGAGGCAGCAGUAGGGAAUCUUCCGCAAUGGACGCAAGUCUGACGGAGCAACGCCGCGUGAGUGACGAAGGUUUUCGGAUCGUAAAACUCUGUUGUGAGGGAAGAACAAGUGCCACGUAACUACUGGCACCUUGACGGUACCUCACCAGAAAGCCACGGCUAACUACGUGCCAGCAGCCGCGGUAAUACGUAGGUGGCAAGCGUUGUCCGGAAUUAUUGGGCGUAAAGCGCGCGCAGGCGGUCCUUUAAGUCUGAUGUGAAAGCCCACGGCUCAACCGUGGAGGGUCAUUGGAAACUGGAGGACUUGAGUGCAGAAGAGGAAAGUGGAAUUCCACGUGUAGCGGUGAAAUGCGUAGAGAUGUGGAGGAACACCAGUGGCGAAGGCGACUUUCUGGUCUGUAACUGACGCUGAGGCGCGAAAGCGUGGGGAGCAAACAGGAUUAGAUACCCCGGUAGUCC